UUGCACCUCAUGGUACAACAUCCCGCGAAUGUUUGAUGGUGCUUGGAGUUUGGACGCAAAAGGAAGAAAACAGUAAAAUUAGAAGUAUUUUAUUAGUAUGGUUGAAUUGGGGGGCAUUUUUAUCUUUUCAUCUAUGCUAAAAGAGAAUCUUAGAGCACUGUUCAUAAGAACCGUUGUUUGGGAAUUUUUUUUUUUAUUAUUAUUAUUAGAUGGAAGAUGCAUAAAUAAAUGUGCAGGCCAGGAUGACAAUUUGGUACAGGUUGUCUUUUGUUAAAAAUUGGAAAAUGUUUAAUUUUUAGGGGAAACUCUGCUGAAUUUUUGAUAAAUUUGUAAGCAACCAAUAUUUGAUUUAAUAUGUAUUAAAUCUCAUUUGUUAUUAAAUCAUGUUUAACUCAUGAAUGAUGAAAUGUGUAUGGUAUUUUUUUAGUUUGAUUAAAUUAGUAAAGGUUAAGAUUGUGAUUAAUUAGUGCCAAUGAUGAGACUUUGAUCUGUUUAGUGGGAUACCCAUGAAUGGAUUAAACUCUUUAGGUAUUAAUUGAUACAUUCUUUUGCCGUUUGUGGGUGGGCCGAUGUGGUUUGGUUGAGGUCCCAAGUGGGGCAUGCGUGUGUGUGGGUUUAUAGGCAUGUGCUAAAGCUCCUCCCAGUCAGCAAUUGCCUGGGUGUGAGUGUGAGUGUACGUGUGUUUCACUUUAUUGUCAAAAAAAUUGAUACAUUUUUUUAAUUAGGGUACUGGUUAAAAGAAUGAAAACCUUGACCUAUAUUAAUUUAAUUUUAUUUCUGUAAUUGUUGAAGAUGUUUAAUUCAUGGAUUACAAAGUGUACGAUUGUUAAAUAAUUGAACUAAUAAAAGUAUGUUUUUAACAAAACUGG
rnacentral:misc_RNA from 1 species